UUGGUCCCCUACCUUUGGGCCCAUCUUCUGGCAUCACUGCCCUGAUAGAGUAAGGUGAUAGCAGCUUGGUUGGUUUUCUGCCUGUGAGCUCAUCUCGUGGCAUCACUGUCCUGAUAGAGUAAGGCGAGAGCAGCGAGGUUGGUCCUUGGCUUGUGGACUCAUCUUCUGACAUCAUUCUUCCGAUAGAGUAAGGUGAUAGCAGUGUGGGUGGACCCCUGCCUGUGGGCUCAUCUUCUGGCAUCAUUGUUUUGAUAAAAUUUUGGAAGGCUUGAUUGCCAAGUGAAUUUACUGCCAUGGCUGCCUAUGUUAAGACUGGCUAAUGUAUUCCCCACAUCGUGAUGUGAGUGGACCAACCAACGAUGAAAUCUCCAAAGUUGAAGAGGCAGGUUACCAUGCAGACAUUGUUGAUGUGGAAGCUGUGCAUAAGGAGAACCAGACAGUGCUGAUGAGAAGAGCGCCCUCGCCUCCUUCAACAAGGAGAGAAGCAAGAUGAAAGACAACGUCCUAAAGGACUUCCCAGGCAUGAUUUACAAGAAUGUCAAACAGAGGAAGAAACUCAGAUAGAUGCCAGUCCUCGCCUCCAUCACUGAGGAGGAACAGUUUCUAAGACUGCCUGAGGGAUCCUCGUCAGAAUCGUAGGCAUUGAUUCAAAGGCAAGGAAAGGAGUCAAUCUUCUCAGAGAUGCAGUUCCUUGCUUCCACCUUAACAUGUGAUGGAGCAAGUCUCUCUGCAUUUGUACACUACUCAAAAGGAUCAAAGGAUCAGAAUAUAAAAAAAGGAUUCACAUCCUAAGAAAUAUGAGUGUCAUUUAAUGUGGUUAUGUUCUAGCUACAAAACAAGUAAAACUUAUUGGUUCCAGUCUAAUGCAAACCUUCUCUGCAGAGUACUGAAGUCCCAUGAAAUUGAAAAACACUUCGAUCAGCACCUUGUCAAGGUCUCCUACACAGCCCUAAAAAUAAGGAAAGUGGGGUUUUGGGAGAAGAUGAGUUGUUAGAAUGAUAUGUUGUUAAUGUGAGGGCGCUAUUUACAAGGUAAAAUGAUGUCCUGUUAAUGCGAGGGCGCUACUUUUUAUUCUGAAAUUAUUACAGCAGAGAAAUGAAACAGUUUGAAGAUAUGAUACAUACAUGUACAUGUACCUGAGUGUAAAAAAAUUAUGACCUUUUUAUUUCAGAAAAAUAAUGCCUACAUCUGUUUGUAAAUCUUCCCCAAGUUACAUUUUUUUUAAUAAUUAUUCAUAAAAAUAGACACAAAAUAGUUGUUUGUGAACCGGUGCAGUUCAUUUCUGACCAAAGGAGACUCUGUUGCUGAGAAAAUUGCGCCCUCUCUUGGCCAAGCUCAGGGCUCAUUGGACUAUGAAACACAUGAUGCAUUAUCUGUCACUUUGUCAAAGUAGACAACUGGCCGAGAUUUUCAAAGACAAAUGUCUGAUCCUUUAAUAUUUUUGAGUAGUGUAUAUCGGUAUACAGUACAAUGCUGCUACAAUGAACAGGGUAGGGUCCAUACACAAUGCUUGGUGUAGCAUACCUCCCCAACUGUUCUGAUUUAAUUGGGUGAAAUUUCAAAGGCCUAAAAAUUAAGCCGUUUCCAUUUCUGUAAAAAAAGGGAAAAUUUCUUUUAAAAAAAGGGAGAAAAAAAUUCCUUGCAAGAGGGCGCUAUUUGCCAAAAAGGAGGUGCCAUUUGCAGAAAAAGAGAGCGCUAUAUGCCGUGUUGUAAAAUGGUAGUUCUGAUUUCUGACUUUUCAGUGUUGAUAUCUUAGCUUUGAUGUCGUUAUCAUCAGGCCUAAAUUUGUGUCUUUAAUUUUAAAAGAAGUUUGCAAUGUUCAGAAAAAGUGCCUAGAAACUUUGGGAGCCAAGGGGCAUGUUCCAUACACCCAAUUGUUCAGGAUAGUGAGGUUGUACUGUAUUCAUGACUUAAGAGGUACUUUUGUACAUUCAGUUGUCAGAAACAGUCAAUCAGUUUGAUUUGAAACAAAAAUUGCUGUUCACAAAUUAGCUUAUAUCUUUAAUGUAUCGUAACCGAUGUACUUUAUUAUGUACGCACGUUUAAAACAUUCAUGUAUACUGGUAUGAAGGUUUUCAAGAUGCUAUACUCCAAAAAUUCCAAUGAUGUAUUUGU